CUGCAAAGUGGGGAAAAGUUUAAUUGCCUUGAAGGAAGGCAAAAUUGGGAUACUCUGAACACCCGAUCAUGUGGACAAUUUGAGGUGGAGAGUGAAAUUUGAUGAAGACCAAUCUUGAUGAAUCUAAGCAC